rnacentral:rRNA from 1 species
GCUCAGAUUGAACGCUGGCGGCAGGCCUAACACAUGCAAGUCGAGCGGCAGCGGAAAGUAGCUUGCUACUUUGCCGGCGAGCGGCGGACGGGUGAGUAAUGUCUGGGAAACUGCCUGAUGGAGGGGGAUAACUACUGGAAACGGUAGCUAAUACCGCAUGACCUCGAAAGAGCAAAGUGGGGGAUCUUCGGACCUCACGCCAUCGGAUGUGCCCAGAUGGGAUUAGCUAGUAGGUGAGGUAAUGGCUCACCUAGGCGACGAUCCCUAGCUGGUCUGAGAGGAUGACCAGCCACACUGGAACUGAGACACGGUCCAGACUCCUACGGGAGGCAGCAGUGGGGAAUAUUGCACAAUGGGCGCAAGCCUGAUGCAGCCAUGCCGCGUGUGUGAAGAAGGCCUUAGGGUUGUAAAGCACUUUCAGCGAGGAGGAAGGCAUCACACUUAAUACGUGUGGUGAUUGACGUUACUCGCAGAAGAAGCACCGGCUAACUCCGUGCC